AAUGAAUCACAAAGUUUAGGUCACAAAUCGUUGGUGAAAAUAGGUGCUCAUCCCUUUGUGUGGGAGGGUAAUGAGUUUGCGAGAGUAAAUAUCAGACAUCAUGCAGCCGGAACAUGAACCGCUCGAGGUUGUUCUGGUAGGCGGCAUCUCACGUCACCUCCCUGGUAACAUACUUCAUGGAGGCCUCGCACUCCCCCGGCAAUCUGCAGACUACCAUCAGGGGCUGGGAUUGAAGCUCUCUGACUAAACCGGCAAAUGAGCUACCGCUGACUAUGUGGCGUUGUGCCUAUCGACGGCAGGAGGGAGAACCACCCAGAUAAAAUUUCGAACGUUAAUACUCGUACAAAUAAAAAAAAAACUAUUUUUAUGUUCUAUUUCCAGGUGCCUGGGUGUAAAUUGGGUGCUUAUUGAGGCUCCUAAUGGAGACUUUCAUAAGCCUUUGAUGGCUCUCCUCCCACAACGUAUCAUGGAUUUUGGCUUAGGCAUCAUUAUUUGGCUGUUAUAAAUCCCCUCCCGAAGGUUCUGCGAGGGUAAGUCCCAGAAUACACUCGGCGCAGAAUGGAUUCGGACUGGGAAUGGGUACAACGGAGAGAAGGAGAAAACGAACGACAGAGCAGAGGAAAGGAGCCGUACAGAGGAAGGAAGGAGGAAUGGAGUGGUGGGUGGGGGGGGGAGAGAAAUGGUACAGAGGUGGGAAGGGACGGCAGAAUCAACGGAAGCGGGGGAGAAAGUGUAAAGCAGAGACGGUGGAUCUGGAGGACGGAACCGCGUUCACUCUGACUCAGCGCAGUCCCCUCGCCCUCCUCCGUCCGGCGCCGCGGAGCAGGCAGAGGUACUGUACCUAGCCUCCAGACAGACACGGCCUCCCCCUUACCCUCCCCCUCCGUCACAGAGAGAAGACGCCCGCGGGGCAGCUCCGUCCGCCUGACGGAGCACCCGAUCAGGUCGUAUCGAUUUCCAUAUUUUGGGGGCAGAAGAUUCACGGCGGCCGGCUGGAGGGCCCCUCUCCAUUACAUCAGCCGCCGCGGUCGAGCCCCUGUCACCGGGAGCCGGCAGCGCGGCGCUCUGCAUCACCGCCCCCGUCACCCGGGCGCACCCACCCCACCGUGCUUUAUGGCUCUGUCUAUGGGACUCUGUCAGAUGUGCGCUAGCACACCACCCAAAUUAACCAUUGCGUUUUGUGGCCUAGUAGUAUAUUACUCUAUCCGUCCAUUAUCUAUACCUGCUUAUCCUGAGCAGGGUCGAGGGGGGUGCUGGAUCCUAUCCCGGUGUGCAUUGGGUAAGAGGCGGGAAUACACCCUGGACAGGCCGCCAAUCUAUCGCAGGGCACACACACCAUUCACUCAAGUAUAUUAUAGUUUCUAUAGUUUAUUUCAUGACAGUGCAAGCAAAUUGGAAUGCUACAGGCAGAACAGAGGCUAGUAUUCCCAUGGUUGUUGAGGGCAGAGUAAACAGGUACACAUAUUUGAAGGGACAUGGUGUAAAUGCAGAACCACCAUGGAGAUGAUUGUAGAAAUUGGAGCCCUGCACUACUGAAACCAUUUUUUAUUAAUUCACAACUAGUGUAAUUCUAUGCUUAUUCUGUGGGGUUAUGCUUAGAAGUUUAUACGAAAUGACCUAUUUAGCAGGCAGUGGAUAUCAGAGUGUUUUCAAGAAAUAUUUUCACAGCCUGAUUUUUUAAAGAUCCAACAUACUUCCUACACUCUCUCCAUUUCUGUCUCCCUCUUACUUCUUAUGUGAAGCCCAUACUCCAAGGGUUUUUAAUGACUGAGUGAGAGAGAGACAGAGAUAGAGAAAAAGUAAAAGAUAAAGAGAAAGAAGAUGAGAAAGAAAGAGAUCGGGAGUCUGAUGAUGGAUCCUUGCAUUAGGCCAGUCGACCCUGAUGGUUCGAGGCCCGUGAAAUAUGGAGAGAAACGAGGGUGUGCUUAUGAUCCAUCACCGUGGCGACGGCAACUCGGCCCUGACAGGUCAUCGAUUGGGCCCCGGUGAGAGCCUAACAAGGACAAAGCGACGGAUUCGCUGUGCCUCCUCCCCGCCCGCUGCCACAGUCCCAUGAGCACUCACCACCAUCAUGUGUCACAGUCACUGAAACAAGUGUCACAGUAAAGUCACAAGGGCCACAGCUUCCUCCUUGGGGCUGGUAGCUGUCAGCUGGUCCACGGAACACCUGGAGCCUCAUGCAGCACGGAGGUGCCUGGCCUACAGGCCUCCUACACUCCGGUGCUAUUGGUGUCCACCAACUUCACGCUGCGGGAGCUCAUGGCAAGUUCCCUUGUCCCAUUCUCCUCCUUCCGCAUUGGUUUCCUGCAACACACAGCAUUUCAAAUAAAUUUUCAGUGGCGUCAGUAAAUCAAGCUGUCUAAAGACAUUGAUGAAUGCUGCUCAAAGGAAGACCAGUCAUGUCAUAGACAGCUGGUAUUCAUGGACAACCCAUAAUGCCACAGAUGGAAGGAAGACCAAUGACAUCAUGGAUGGAUGCUGCUCAUGAUGAGUGAUGUAAUUUCAUCGAUGAAUGCUGCUCAUAGGAAUAUGAGUGAUAUCACAGAUGGGUGCUGCUCACAGGAACACAAAUUAUGUCACACGUGGAACAGGAACCAUGACCCUUUAGCCCUGACAAUGCAUACCAAUUGAUACCUGGCUGUGGGGGCACCAGCAUGUGGAGCAUUUAGCUCUAUGUCCUGUAUAUCCUGUGACAGAACAGGAACAGUGCAAAAAACAGCUUUCAAACAGAGGAUGACUAGAGAACGCAUUGUGUGUUCCAAGCUGACUGAGAAGGCGUAUCUGUAAUAAAUUUACUUAACCUCCCAUUCCAUCCUUUAAAGGGAAAGCUGCUUCUUGGCUGACAGAAUGACCAAGGUAUUUUCCACAAAAGGAGAUUGAUUUUUUUUUUUGCUACAAAUAAGAGUUGUGAGAUGAAUCAGAACAGGUUUAUGAAGCUUAAAUGUGCAAAAUGUGCCUUGUGGUGGGGGUCUCAUUACAGCAGAUUGGUGGACACUGAUUCUGUAAGCAUGACAUAUUGUCCACCUGCAUCUGUCAAGUUCUAGAUGGUUCUAUGAAGCUAAUGAAACCUCACAAGGCUUAUAUUCAAUCAACAUUUGACCUUAACUUUGACUCAAAACUAUGUAGUAUCAGUUUAAUUCGGAAGUCAAAUUGCCAGGUGGACUUCUCCUGGCAUAACCUGGUGGGCUGCCCUACCUAGCAGUCUCCUUUUUCAGUCAAGGUCCUUCAAUGAGCGCAUGCAAUGCCCUGAAGCCCUGAAGGACAGUGGCGUUUGGGUUGGCUCUGGGUCCUGGCCAAGCUUGGCUUUGUGCCAGGGCUGCUGGCAGGAUCAUUGUCUGAGGGCCUCAAAACUCACAUAAACAUGGUGCUGACUGAGUAAACACUCACAAGCUCAUGACAUCGGUCAUUCGGCAACUGUUUAUAUUUGGGCUUAUAAAGAACAGAUAAUGAUAAACAGCAUCACUCCCACAAAUGCAUGAGGAAUUCCCUAGUAUUUGUAACAAAAAAAGUAAUAUUUAAUAUUUAAUCUCAGCUCUGAAACAGACCUGAUCAAAAUAUAACCCCUUUAAACUAUCCGUUUUGAAGACAUUAUAAAUGAUUUGUUAUUCUGAUCCAAAAAAUCCAUGGUAGUGGUUCCAUGUUCCAUGGUAGUGGUUGAGCUUCUAGGGCCUGAAAAUGCAAAUUAACACAAGAAGUCCAUACCAUAAUAGGAGCUGUUUAUAUAAUUGGAUG